rnacentral:ribozyme from 1 species
UUCCAUGGUGAAGAAAGUCCCCGCCAUGCUCGCACGCUUUGAAAAGUCCGAAGAGUCCCUGUUUGCGAGCCUCGAAGCAAAGCAUGGGCAGCCC